AGAGUUUGAUCCUGGCUCAGGAUGAACGCUAGCGGCAGGCUUAAUACAUGCAAGUCGUGGGGCAGCAGGGUUGUAGCAAUACAAUCGCUGGCGACCGGCAAACGGGUGCGUAACACGUACGCAACCUUCCCGUUACUGUGGAAUAGCCCAGGGAAACUUGGAUUAAUACCACAUAUUAUAUUGAUGAGGCAUCUUGUUGAUAUCAAAGCUUCGGCGGUAACGGAUGGGCGUGCGGUUGAUUAGGUAGUUGGCGGGGUAACGGCCCACCAAGCCUACGAUCAAUAGCUGAUGUGAGAGCAUGAUCAGCCACACGGGCACUGAGACACGGGCCCGACUCCUACGGGAGGCAGCAGUAAGGAAUAUUGGGCAAUGGACGAAAGUCUGACCCAGCCAUGCCGCGUGAAGGAUUAAGGUCCUCUGGAUUGUAAACUUCUUUUCUCUGGGGCGAAAACCACCCUUUCUAGGGUAUUUGACAGUACCAGAGGAAUAAGCACCGGCUAACUCCGUGCCAGCAGCCGCGGUAAUACGGAGGGUGCAAGCGUUAUCCGGAUUUACUGGGUUUAAAGGGUGCGUAGGUGGGUCUGUAAGUCAGUGGUGAAAUCCCCGAGCUUAACUUGGGAACUGCCGUUGAUACUAUAGAUCUUGAAUAUCGUGGAGGUAAGCGGAAUAUGUCAUGUAGCGGUGAAAUGCUUAGAUAUGACAUAGAACACCAAUUGCGAAGGCAGCUUACUACACGAUCAUUGACACUGAGGCACGAAAGCGUGGGGAGCAA
rnacentral:rRNA from 1 species